ACGCAGGCGGCAGGCCGUGCUGCAGCUGCCCUCGGCCCUGCGCCCUCCUCGGCUUGGAGCCGCCGGGAUUUGUCCGUUGCAGGUUCAGCUGACACAGUGCUUCAAAGCUUUGCUGUUAUUUAGGGACUGAAAUCUACCGCUGACCUCGGAUAAGGUCUCAUAAGCCACUAUACACAUCAACCAAAGUCUGAACGUCACAGAAGUGGUUGCAUGAGGUUCUCCUUGAAAUACAAUAUAAAAGCAGUUUCUGUACACUGUAUUCUUGAGGUAGUCAUUUACAAGUCUGUUGAAAGUUUUUAACAGUCUCCUUGGGUGUCUUUCUGACUUUUUUCCCCCCCUUUUUCCCUGCAAAGUAAGGACAAUUUGGGGGGACUCAGAAUCAAAACUGAAAUCUACAAAAUAGACUGGAGUCUAUAAUUGUUGUAUGCUUAGAUAUUUGUAGAUCUUUUUCUCUAGCAUGGUUGAGCAAUGUACAUUUGGCAAGCAUGAAUUUCAGGAUGAGCUUCUGAAGAAUGGAGGCUGUAACGUGCUAGUGCGUCUGCUGCUUGGAGUCAUAUCUUUCUUUUUCUCUUCAGUGAACGUUGUUGUUCCUUCACACAGAGGUUUGGCAGUGAGCUUUGCUAGCCUUUAAUUGGAAGAUGUAGGUGAGUGGCAAUAGUUUUGCUCAAACUGUACUUGUGGAGAAAUCUUCUAGAACUCAAUAGGGAUGAAACCUGUAAAAUUCUAAAUGAAUAUGUCUACUAGCACAUAAAAUUAAUAUACAGUAACGUGCAUUUAGGCCUCUGCUCUUUUUUAAUUUCUUAGCCAUCUUAUAAAAGCCCUAUGUUAAACUAUAAUCUCCUGAUGUUAUAGAACAGAUUAAAAAUUGCAUAGAAAAGAAAAAAUAAAGUGUAAUAAUUAAAAUUCCUUAACAAUAACCUAAUAGUAGAGGAUGAGGCUGAAACCAAAUCUUGCUAUCUCUGGUAGACUCAAAUACAGGCUGAUUUCACCUGAGCACAGGUAUGCAGAACUAGUCUUUGUAUAUGUGUAGUUUUGGUGUUUGAACUGAGCAAAAGGUUAUGAUGAAGUCCUAAAUGCAAAUCAUUAGGUUGGUUGCUUGUGCAGCCCUGUUUUCCAACUGUGAAAAAUCCAAAAAACAGUAUUUAACAAGAGUAGAGAGAUUUCUCUAGUAAUUGUCGAUAUGUUUUAUAUGGAGACUUUAUUAUACAAAAUUCAUACAGAAUGUAAGAGAACCUUCAAAUAGGUUUCUUUGGACCAUAUCCAGAAAAGCACUUAAGCACCUGAAAUGGGAAUUAGAUAGAACUUGAAGUUCUACCUUCAAGAGCAUGAGCCACAGAACCCUAUACCUGUAGUCAGCCAAGUCUUUCGGUAGAUGUAGUUGGCAUCGGUAAGCACGUACAGUAAGUACCUAAUGUCGUGGUUGCACCAAAAGAAUUGAUGCUUGACUUAUGCCUGUGUUUGUUUAGGAUCCAGAAAGUAGGUCAAGCAUCAUCUAAAAUCCCUGGUGGGCUGGAGCGAAGAAGCAUGGUUAGAGCAUACCCACCACACAAAGGAUCUGAAUUUAACAAAAAAUUCAACAGUUGUAAUAAGGACAGAGGCAGAGGCAAACAUCAUGGCAAUGAUCACCAGGCUACAGUAUCACCAUGAUUAGAGAACUUGGGACCUGGAAAACCUGUGUUCUGUGCCCUGCUCAGCUUUGGUAGGUCCAAACUAGUCUCUCUUCCGACAACAAUAACAUCACCAAUAAUUUUUUUCUGAUUUUGGAGCAGGGCAUUCUUUGGUGGUCUGUGUGCAGCUUCACAGAGGCCCAUUGACGGAGUGGAAGAGAGUAUUGCUGGAUGACCCUGCACUUAGGAAACUUAGCUGGAACAGAUUGAAAGUCUUAGUUUCUGGUCCCUCUUCCCACCACUGUGUACACAUUUUAACCAGUAGCUUUUCAGUGUACAAUAUUGGCUCCUGUUCCAGGUCUAUAAACACUCCCUAUAGCAACUGAAUAUCUUUGUUGGCAUGCUGUCAGUCUCAUCUUUUUCUCUGAUUCCAUAAUUAUUACAUUCUGAAAUCAGUCUGAGUAAAAUAUAGUCAUAUAUACAUUUAUAUAUAUAUAUAUAUAUAUGUAAAAUAUGUGUAUAUCUCUCUAAAAGUAUACAUGAAGAAUACAUCAUCAUUAGAAAAUAUUCAUACAGGAAGUAAGCAGCAGGUUUCUGUCAUAAUGGUGGUAUAUGGCUUUUUGACAUUAUACUUGGAGUAGAAUCCUGCUUUGGUCUUUUUUUUUUUUACUCUGUAUAUUUUAAAGCCUCUCUAAUUUUACAAUGGUUAGGGAAUUUGAGUGGUAUAACUACCAUUUACUUGCUGUCUGGUGUAUCUUCCCAACUCUCCGAGGUAUGCAUAUGUUGUUUCUCGUUUAAGACAUGAGAUGUGGAUUCAACUUCUAUUGUGUGUGUGUGGUAGCUGACACAGUAAGGUUCCAGUCUCCUGAUACAGGUUUUUUGCAUAUGUAGCAAUGUAAAUAAUGUAUAGUAGUAAUCACCUUGGGCACACUUGCUGUAACUUGAGACCAAGAAUUUGCUGUCAAAAGUGCAUUAAAAUGAAGUUUUUUGAGCAUCAUGAUGGAGAACGCAAGAAUGAUAAUUUGCAAAGACUUGACUCCACUUAGUAAUUGCUUUCUUCUGGUUUUAGAUGAUGAUUGUUUCUUAGCUUAGAGAUUUGGAAAUCAAAGGGAAUCUUUUUCCUACACCCAGCCCAAAAAAUUGUAAGUUGAAAGAGAGAGAGAGUGGGAGAGGUAAAACACACUGAAUUUAUCUACGGGUCCAUAAAAUGUAAGUUCUCUGUAUUCCAAAAUGGCCUUGUGUUUAGACAAUAUAAUUAUUUCAAUACAUUGAUACUGUCAUAUUUUCAGAUUUCUUAUUCAUCCUUGAUGCACUGGUGAAUCAACAAUGAAUUUGUAAUUUUUUCAUGUGGUGUUAUUGUUUCUGGUGGGCUGUCUCUUAACAGCACUGGAUAUAAGACUAAUUGUGCAAAAAUAAAUUAUUUAUAAACCUCUGUG